GGCUGCUGGCUGAGUUGGUACGGAUAGCGAUGCAUUCAUACCCUAGCGUUUAUAGGGGGUUCGAUUCCCCCGUUGGCCA